GAUGAACGCUGGCGGCGUGCCUAAUACAUGCAAGUCGAGCGAAUGGAUUAAGAGCUUGCUCUUAUGAAGUUAGCGGCGGACGGGUGAGUAACACGUGGGUAACCUGCCCAUAAGACUGGGAUAACUCCGGGAAACCGGGGCUAAUACCGGAUAACAUUUUGAGCCGCAUGGUUCGAAAUUGAAAGGCGGCUUCGGCUGUCACUUAUGGACGGACCCGCGUCGCAUUAGCUAGUUGGUGAGGUAACGGCUCACCAAGGCAACGAUGCGUAGCCGACCUGAGAGGGGGAUCGGCCACACUGGGACUGAGACACGGCCCAGACUCCUACGGGAGGCAGCAGUAGGGAAUCUUCCGCAAUGGACGAAAGUCUGACGGAGCAACGCCGCGUGAGUGAUGAAGGCUUUCGGGUCGUAAAACUCUGUUGUUAGGGAAGAACAAGUGCUAGUUGAAUAAGCUGGCACCUUGACGGUACCUAACCAGAAAGCCACGGCUAACUACGUGCCAGCAGCCGCAGUAA
rnacentral:rRNA from 1 species